ensembl:lncRNA
GGUAUUAUGGCUUUACAUCCCCUGCUUUGAUAAUAGUGCUGGAGGAGAUGGCUGCUGUUUUACAGUCCCCAAACCAAUUGUGCUAUUGUGUGUUUUUUCACGUUAUUUGUAACUUAUUUUGUACAUACUGUUUCAGCCACAAGUCUCUUAUGACCGAAAAGAGCUUCUAGAUAUCAGGACAGCGAUUACACACCCCAUACUGUCAAACGGUCUGUGUCUUUGUCCAAUCUUUUUCUCUCAUAAUGUAAGUGUUAUUUCUUCCUCUAGGUCUGACAGAGGUCCAGGGUGAUGGGGAACCUGGUGUUGAAGAACAAAAAGGCCCGGUUUGUCAUCGCCCAUAAACUGCUGCUGCUCCAAUACAAGAAUGAGGCGCUGCGAGCAACCCCUUCUGGAGCAGCAGCAUAGUGUGGGACUACUGAGUGAUGCAGAGGUACAGGAGCUACGCUCAGGAACAUCCCCAAUUGUAGAACCUUUUGAGGAUCUGAGGACCCAUGCCAAAUCUUUUCAGUCUCCUGAGGGGGAAUAGGUUUUGUCGUGCCCUCUUCACGACUGUCUUGGUGUGCUUGGACCAUGUUAGUUUGUAUUGUGUCACACGACCAGAGCUGUUCACUAUUUUCUGACCUGUCCACCUCCGGGUUGUAUUCAUUUGAGAAAUGAAAAUAAAAUAAAAUAUGAAAACAACUGAGCUUGGAAUUGUAGGCUACAUGGGGCGACAGGUAGAGCGUUGGGCCAGUGUCCGAAAGGUUGCUGGAUCAAAUCCCCGAGCUGAUGAGGUUAAAAAUCUGUUGUUCUGCCCCUGAACAAGGCAGUUCCCCGGUAGGCCGUCAUUGUAAAUAAGAAUUUGUUCUUAAAUGACUUGCCUAAUUAAAUAAAGGUUCAAUAAAAAAAAUGUAGUCCCAUCUUGUUGAAGAAUUCUGUAAAUAUUAAAUAUCAAAACAGAAUAGAAACCCCUUUGUUAAUACUGUAUGUAUUUGCAAUAAUUAGCUUAAUGUUGAGGCAUGGCAUAAAAAUAAAUGUAUAUUUUGUCACGCUGGUUAUUUAAAAUAUGAGUCAUGCUUCAGUAGUGGAAUAAUGACAAUUAGCACUUGAAUUUUGUAAAUAAAUGCUGUGUAAAUGUUGGGGUAAUGUAUGAUUGUUAAGUUUGGGUCAGUCACAGUGGUCAGGUAUUCUGCCACUGUGUACUCUCUAUUUAGGGCCAAAUAACAUUCUAGUUUGCUGUUUUUUUUGUUCAUUCUUUCCAAUGUGUCAAGUAAUUAUCUUUUUGUUUUCUCAUGAUUUGGUUAGGUCUAAUCGUGUUGCUGUCCUGGGGCUCUGUGGGGUCUGUUUGUGUUUGUGAACAGAGUCCCAGGACCAGCUUAGUGUAAUUGUUCAUAGACAAAUAUUUGAUAUUGUGUCUGUAACACAUUGAGGGAUUUGUGAAUCUGAAAGUAGAGUGGACGUGGGGCAUAUUCGUCUUUUCAACAACAUUCUGCUAGGUGGGCUUUAGCAUUUUCGCUGAAUAGCAAUGUUUAAGUACUUACUACUUUUAACUACUUUUUAGCAUGUUAGCUAACUAACUCCUAAACCUUAACCUUAAUUCCUAACACCUAUCCAAACUAAUGUUAGCCAACUAGCUAACAUGAACAUUAGCCACUUAGCUAACGUUAGCCACAACAAAUUGUAAUUAAAAACAUAUAAGAAAUGGCCGAUGGACAUCCACAAAUUAAUACUUUUAAGUUUUUAAGUUUACUUU